rnacentral:rRNA from 1 species
CCUACGGGAGGCAGCAGUGGGGAAUAUUGCACAAUGGGCGCAAGCCUGAUGCAGCGACGCCGCGUGCGGGAUGACGGCCUUCGGGUUGUAAACCGCUUUUGACUGGGAGCAAGCCCUUCGGGGUGAGUGUACCUUUCGAAUAAGCACCGGCUAACUACGUGCCAGCAGCCGCGGUAAUACGUAGGGUGCAAGCGUUAUCCGGAAUUAUUGGGCGUAAAGGGCUCGUAGGCGGUUCGUCGCGUCCGGUGUGAAAGUCCAUCGCUUAACGGUGGAUCCGCGCCGGGUACGGGCGGGCUUGAGUGCGGUAGGGGAGACUGGAAUUCCCGGUGUAACGGUGGAAUGUGUAGAUAUCGGGAAGAACACCAAUGGCGAAGGCAGGUCUCUGGGCCGUCACUGACGCUGAGGAGCGAAAGCGUGGGGAGCGAACAGGAUUAGAUACCCUGGUAGUCCACGCCGUAAACGGUGGAUGCUGGAUGUGGGGACCAUUCCACGGUCUCCGUGUCGGAGCCAACGCGUUAAGCAUCCCGCCUGGGGAGUACGGCCGCAAGGCUAAAACUCAAAGAAAUUGACGGGGGCCCGCACAAGCGGCGGAGCAUGCGGAUUAAUUCGAUGCAACGCGAAGAACCUUACCAAGGCUUGACAUGCACCCAGAGCCUCCAGAGAUGGGGUUGCAUUUGGUUGGGGGUGUGCAGGUGGUGCAUGGUUGUCGUCAGCUCGUGUCGUGAGAUGUUGGGUUAA